CCUUUAACGAGGAUCCAUUGUAGGGCAAGUCUGGUGCCAGCAGCCGCCGUUAUUCCAGCUCCAAUAGCGUAUAUUAAAGUUGUUGCAGUUAAAAAGCUUGUAGUUGGAUCUCGGGUGCCGCCGCGGGCGGUUCGCUUUGCAGCGACCACUGCCCACGCUCAUGGCGCCGGUGCGCCGUCAUCCCCGCACGCGCUCUUUGCUGAGCGCCGUGCGAGGCCGGCCAGUCAGGCUUGAAUAAUGGUGCAUGGAUGAAGUAGGGAGUAGGACCUUGUAGAAUCUAUUUUGUUGGUCUCCGGAAUCCGAGGUAAUGAUUAAGAGGGACAGACGGGGGCAUUCGUAUCACGGGUUAGAGGUAAAAUUCUUGGAUCCCUUCUUGGAUCUUAGUCGUACAGAAGCGAUUAUGCUUUGAUAUAUUGUAUCUUGGAUAUAAUGUACUCAUGAUUUUAAACGACGUAAAAUAAACCACAAUUAAUUAAAUGAAUGAAUGAGACGCACGACUACGAAAUCAUUUACUAAGAAUUCAAGAACGAAAGUCAGAGGUUCGAAGACGAUCAGAUAUCGUCCUAGUUCUGACCAUAAACGAUGCGGACUGUCGAUCCGCCGGCGUCGUUUCCCGUGACCCGACAGGCAGCCUCUCAGAAAUGAAAG
rnacentral:rRNA from 1 species